ensembl:lncRNA
CUGGAACCUUGUGUUGAAGCUGGCCCUGUUCCUCAGCAUACUGGAACCUUGUGUUGAAGCUGGCCCUGUUCUUCUGUAUACUGAGACCUCGUGUUGAAGCUGGGCCUGAUCUUUUGUAUACUGGGACCUUGUGUUGAAGCUGGGCCUGAUCUUUUGUAUACUGGGACCUUGUGUUGAAGCUGGCAAAGUUCAUGAUUGUAAGAACAGCUGACAAAAAGGUAUGCUCUGAUCAGACAUCUAUUGUUGUGUCAAAUCUGAUGUCUAAUGCCCACCCUGGGGGCAUGGCAGGGGCUGUUUAUGUGUUCGUCCUAACUGGGAAAAUGUGUGAUUUUUCAGCAUGAACACCAGUAUUGAAGGUGUCUGCCAUUUUAGUGUAGUCAGCUGGGUGGAACUUUCAACUUAACUGGUUGGUCGUAUGACCACAGCUCCAACAGUGUCAUCAAAAGGAAUCAGCGAAACAAUUCAUGGGAACUGACUACUGGAAACUGGAGACAGACUCAGUGGUGUGGCCCAGGCUGGAACCGAUGCUACGAUGGCGCAGAGACACCAAUGACACCUCUAUCCAUCCAUCCAUCCUCAUGGCACAACAACACAGCCCUCUCGAAUUGAUGGGUGAAAUUCACCACUGCGCUCUCCAGAUUGGCUGGGACAGACUCUGGGACAUCCAGAUUGGUCGUCUGGCUGUGAGGGCUGUUAUGAUUGGUUUUCCUGCAGAGAGGUCAUCCCAGACAGACGUCUGACCGGUGGGCGGUGUGUGUGGCGGUGUGUGUGGCGGUGUGUGUGUGUAUUCUGACGCAUUGCUGCAGUGCCCUCCAUGCAAAUAGCUGUGCAACGCUAUUUCACCUCUUAGACACACAUAUGGAAGCAUUCAAGCAUGAAUGUAUAAGGGUGUGUGUGUGUAAACUGUAAUGACAUUAUGGAACAGUUGUAAUAUGUGUUCAGAUUAUUAUUACUGUUCUCCUCUGUUCAGACCCGGCAUAUUAGCACUCUGUCUCCAUGACAACCAGCAAAUCCACCACCACCAGCUCCGCAACAAAGAUACCACAGCCCCCUUUACACACACACACACACACACACACACACACUGAGAGAACCAGACCGCCAGUCUCUUUAGCAGGAAGUUAGUACGGAGGUGUGGAAGCAUCUAACAUUUGUUAACUAUCUGCUGGUCGCCUCCACAAGCCAUCACCACAAGGAGAGCAGAGAGUGAGAGGUGAGACUGGGAGAGGGAAUGACAUAAAUAAUGUUUUGUGCAAGAAACAGAGGGACAGUGUUUCAUUUCUAAUAAUAGAACCACUGUCUAGUAGGGGAAAUGGAGAGGGAAGAGGAAAAGAGGGAGAAACGAGGUGUGGAAUAGGAGUGGCAAGAGAGGAGAAGUGGAGGAGGAGAGGAAGAAAAUAAGGGGAGGAAAGUGCCUCCCAGUAACAGCUAGUCCUAAAGAAGUGUGCAGGGUUUUUAUCCAGCCCUGUCCCAACAUCUGGUUCAAUCAUCUCGUCAGAUCGCCCCUGGCUCAAUCAUCAGGUCAGCUCACCCCUGGUUCUGUCAUCUGGUCAGCUCACCCCUGGUUCUGUCAUCUGGUCAGCUCGCCCCUGGUUCGAUCAGCUGAGAUGUGUGGGUGUCAUGUUGUAGCUUCACCUUGUUACAGUAAAACUAUUUAUAUCUUGUUAGGAUACAGAAGGUAACAUCACAGACUAUUGUAUUGCAGAUUCCACCAUGAAAAGCAAAUAAAAAAGGAAUAAAAAUACUAAAUAUUUGGGUGCUUUAUGGUAUGGUCGAAUUAUUCUACAUGUGUGUUUGUGUAUGAGUUAGUUUGCCCAGUUCAGAGUCAGAGUAGGUGGUCAGGCAGGUCAAGAGUUCAGUAAUAUGUCUCUGACCCUCCUAGUGUGAGACUAUGGUUCGGUCCAGUCUGUACCUGAUGGUCUCUGAACCUGUUAUUAUGAGACUAUGGUUCGGUCCAGUCCGUACCUGAUGGUCUCUGAACAUGUUAUUAUGAGACUAUGGUUCGGUCCAGUCCGUACCUGAUGGUCUUUGACCAUGUUAUUAUGAGACUAUGGUUCGGUCCAGUCCGCAACAAUACUCAUUUUACAGGAUGUCAUGCCAUUGCAGCAGGGCCAGAUUUCAUUAUUUGCUUCAGGCAGUUGAGUGGCUGAUGUGGUCUCUCUCGAUAACACUGACGGUCUGUGAGAAGUCCUCUGGUAUGUAAACGUUGAGGACUUUGAAACCGUUGACUCUCUGUACUCCGGCCCUGUGGAUGAGGAUUAGCGUGUGUUCCCUCCCUCGUCUGUCUCCUGAAGACAACAGUCGCCCUCUUUGUUUCUCGUUGACGGUGUGUUGGAACCACCACACUAGUUUGCGUACCUCUUGCACACAGGCUGACUCACUGUUGAUGGUAAUCAGGCCUCCAGCUGUUGUGUGGUUGGGAUGACUGCUGAGAUGAGGUGCUGUCAUGCAGGAUGUAAAGCAGAGGGAUCAAUCACAAGUGGUGUGUUCUCAGAGGGGCGUGGCUUGAGUAACAAGGCGUGUGCUUUUCGGGGGCUUGAGCAUUGCUACCAGAAGUGUAAUUUGUGAUUCAGUCUCCUUCUGUCCUGUUCCCCCUAAAACCGGAAGUUCUGUUAGUUGGGGACCCCGCGGAGGGUGGUGAUGACAUGAAGGGGGGUUGUGAUAGUAGAGCAUCAUGGUUAGUGUCAGGGGUUAGAAUCAAACUCACACAUGACCUUGUUUACACUGAUAUCAAUCACUCCUUUGUGUUUGCAUGCGUGUAGACAGUUUCUGUCUGUGUGCUCGUGUGUGUGCAUGUGUAUUGAGUUUGUUGUGUGUGUGUGUGUGUGUGUGUUUGUGUGUGUGUUGAAUGCAUGCCAGUGUUCUGACUUUGGUCUUUUUGUUUGUAGAACUGGGCCUUCCUGCCCUCUCAUGUGCUUUAGUCAUGAAUAGUGGUUCUGUCUCACAAACACACACACAUUACCACAUUACCGCCAACACUCACCCACCCACACACACACUCACACACACACACACACAUACACACAUACAUAACCACACACCAAAACAUUACCACUAACAAACACACACUUAAACACCAACACACACACAUACACCAACACACACACAGAAACACAAACACCAACACACACACAUAAACACACACACAUACACCAACACACACACACAUACACCAACACACACACAGAAACACAAACACAGAGAGUUAAUAAUGAUGGGCGAUGCUCUCAGAUGGUUGAUGCAGCUUGUUGAUCCACAAACACAGUAAAACUGUAACACAGUCAAACUGACUAGUAUGUUCAUCAAAAGGAGAUAAUAUAGUAGUUGUGUGUGUCUGUGUGUGUGUGUGUAGGUGUGUGUGUCUGUGUGUGUGUGACUGACUGCAUCUCCCUGUUCUGUCCCUCCUUCUACUUGGUGUCAAGCUUGACUGAUAGGAGUAUUUAACUCUGUUAUUUGUGGGGAGGAGAGGGGGAGAGGAGGAGAUAGAGGAGGGGGUAGGAGGUUAUAGAGGAGGGUAUAAGAGAAGAGGAGUGGAGUGGGAAAGAGGGUUACAGAGAAGGGUAUGAGAGGAGAGAAGAGGGGAGGAGUGGGGGAGAGGUGGAGAUGUGUAGAGGGUUGUAGAGGACAGUAUGAAAGGAGAGAAGAGGAGAGGAGAGGGGGAGGGGAGGAGAAUGGGAAGGGGGGAGGAGGAGAGGAAGGGGGCGACUACAGGUUUUAAAGCACCCCGAGUUCUGUCCGGAGGGGGCGUGUCAGAAGGACUGUCGUCACCAAUCAGUAUAAAAUCUGCAGCUGUGGCGGGGAGCGUGCGCUGAGAGAGAGCACAGAGGACUGGCGCGCACUCGCAUACACCACAUUCUCUAUCUUUCCCUCCUCCUCUCUUGCUCCCAAACAAAGAGAAGCACGCGAGGCAGCAGAGCAGAGCGCAUCUAUCUCACCCCAAACCGAUAGCGAGCCAGCACGGAUUCUUUCUCACAUAGACACUCCUAUCCCGGAUCGGUCGCAACC